rnacentral:tRNA from 1 species
GGCACAGUAGUGCAGUGGGUAGCAUUAUUGCCUCACAGCAAGAGGGUUUAGGUUCGAAUCCGUGGCCUGGGCCU